UGAGUCCGCACUCAAUUAGAGCAGACAACUCAGCAGGUUGAUCGGGCGUCCGGGUGGCCUUCUUCCUGCCUUGCUUUUGUGGGGAAGGUACCGUUUGCCUUUCUCCAGGAUGAGUUACCCGCGGAUCCCAAGGCUUAAAUUUCGGACACCAUUCACCCUCUGGAUCCUUGAUUAGCUCACAAUCCGCACAGCAGUAUAGCUUUCUUCUCUCCAGCCUGAAAAAAAAAAAAAAUCUUUGGCCCUUUGAGGCACUGGGUGCUAGGAGGUCUGCGAGGACCGGUCUUCCCAGGUCCAGAGGGGAUCUCCCUGGAGAAAGAGUUGUCCCAACCUGA